UUGGAGGGCAAGUCUGGUGCCAGCAGCCGCGGUAAUUCCAGCUCCAAUAGCGUAUAUUAAAGUUGUUGCAGUUAAAAAGCUCGUAGUUGAAUUUCGGGGUCAGUAGAUUGGUCGUGCCACUGGUAUGUACUGGUCUUACUGGCUCCUCCUUCCUGAUGAACCGUAAUGCCAUUAAUUUGGUGUUGCGGGGAGACUGGACUGUUACUUUGAAAAAAUUAGAGUGUUUAAAGCAGGCUAACGCUUGAAUACAUUAGCAUGGAAUAAUGAAAUAGGACGUUCGAUCUUAUUUUGUUGGUUUCUAGGAUUGACGUAAUGAUUAAUAGGGAUAGUUGGGGGCAUUAGUAUUCAAUUGUCAGAGGUGAAAAUCAUGGAUUUAUUGAAGACUAACUACUGCGAAAGCAUUUGCCAAGGAUGUUUUCAUUAAUCAAGAACGAAAGUUAGGGGAUCGAAGACGAUCAGAUACCGUCGUAGUCUUAACCAUAAACUAUGCCGACUAGGGAUCGGAUGAUGUUAAUUUUUUAAUGACUCAUUCGGCGCCUUACGGGAAAC
rnacentral:rRNA from 1 species